rnacentral:rRNA from 1 species
UACGUAGGGUGCAAGCGUUAAUCGGAAUUACUGGGCGUAAAGCGUGUGCAGGCAGUUAUGCAAGACAGAGGUGAAAUCCCCGGGCUCAACCUGGGAACUGCCUUUGUGACUGCAUAGCUAGAGUACGGUAGAGGGGGAUGGAAUUCCGCGUGUAGCAGUGAAAUGCGUAGAUAUGCGGAGGAACACCGAUGGCGAAGGCAAUCCCCUGGACCUGUACUGACGCUCAUGCACGAAAGCGUGGGGAGCAAACAGG